rnacentral:misc_RNA from 1 species
AGUGAGAUGGGCCUUGAUCCGGGAAUAGAUCACAUGAUGGCCAUGAAAAUGAUCAAUGAAGCACAUGUGAGAAAGGGAAAGAUAACGUCAUUCGUUUCUUACUGUGGUGGGCUUCCGUCUCCUGCUGCAGCAAACAACCCGUUGGCUUACAAGUUCAGUUGGAAUCCAGCUGGAGCAAUUCGAGCAGGACAAAAUCCGGCCACUUAUAUGUCACUUGGAAAAAUUGUACAUGUUGAAGGAAAUCAACUAUAUGACUCAGCAGUGAGUUUCCGCAUUCCGGAUCUUCCAGCUUUUGCUUUGGAAUAUCUCCCAAAUCGGAAUUCUUUGGUGUAUGGUGAUCUGUAUGGAAUUAGUAACGAAGCAUCGACCAUCUUCCGGGCCACCCUCCGUUACGAAGGCUUUGGUGAAAUAAUGGCUAGUCUUGCAAAAAUUGGUUUCUUUGAUACUGAAGUUCAUCCAAUGCUGAAUGGAGGAGGUCAAAGACCGACAUUUAGUGCCUUUCUAAAUAAACUUUUGAAGAUAAAGACAUUUGAUUCGAUGGAUCCUGAGGCACCAAGUGGAUCAAUCCACGAUGAGACAGAAAUGGUUAGGAGAGUGAUUAUGCUUGCACACUGCAAAGAGACAACAGCCGUGAAGACAGUUAAAACCAUCAGGUUCUUGGGACUCGAUGAGGAAGAGGAGAUCCCAAUAACAUGCUUGUCUGCAUUUGACGUGGCUUGUUUGCGCAUGGAAGAGCGAUUAGCCUACUCUUGUAAUGAGCAGGACAUGGUGCUUCUGCAUCACGAAAUUGAGGUAAGUUUUCCCGAUGGCCGGCCAAACGAGAAGCAUCGUGCCACUUUGCUAGAAUUUGGGAGAACACAAGACGGGAAUACUGCAACUGCGAUGGCACUCACCGUUGGCAUUCCAGCAGGGAUAGGAGCACUGCUGUUGCUCCAGAAUAAGAUCCAGGCAAGGG